rnacentral:lncRNA from 1 species
GCCCUUCAAAGCUAUGCCUCAUGGGAAAAUUCCCAUGAUGCAUCCUUCUUAACGAGGCUGAAUAUGGAAAGAUUUGAAUUCAUCAUUUUUUUUUUUUUUUUUUUUUGUGUGUUUGAGUUGCUUUAAAACAUUGCCUAAUUUCCUCAGUAUGCAAAAGUAACGAUGGAGUUAUCUCAUUGACAAAAGUACCCUUUUCCAUCAAUUAAAAUGCCAUUUCAAAAAGAACUUCUUAAUCAAUCAUUUUAUUACUUACAGUUGUAUAUAACAAAUUUGGUCUUUUCCACAAAAUUAUAAUAACGAAAUCAAAAAUUGUCUCUGCAUGCUAACUGUCCCCACGAAAUAAAAGUUCUAUAAACCGUCUUUUUCGUCUUCUUUUUUAUAUUAACUGACGACAAUCUCUCUUGUCUUCAUCCGUUAAUCCUUUUUGAAAGAUGUACUGCAAAACAACGGAAAUAAGAUUAUAAAUCUUAAUGAAUAUACGUAAAUACACACGCCCAAACAAAGCGGUCGGGUGGGUGGGGACCCA